AGGGAUGUAGCUCAGUUGGUAGAGUGCCUGCCUCACAUGCACAAGGUCCUAGGUUCAAUCCCCAGCACCACAA
rnacentral:tRNA from 1 species